rnacentral:rRNA from 1 species
GAUGAACGCUGGCGGCGUGCCUAAUACAUGCAAGUCGAGCGAACAGACGAGGAGCUUGCUCCUCUGACGUUAGCGGCGGACGGGUGAGUAACACGUGGAUAACCUACCUAUAAGACUGGGAUAACUUCGGGAAACCGGAGCUAAUACCGGAUAAUAUAUUGAACCGCAUGGUUCAAUAGUGAAAGACGGUUUUGCUGUCACUUAUAGAUGGAUCCGCGCCGCAUUAGCUAGUUGGUAAGGUAACGGCCUACCAAGGCAACGAUGCGUAGCCGACCUGAGAGGGUGAUCGGCCACACUGGAACUGAGACACGGUCCAGACUCCUACGGGAGGCAGCAGUAGGGAAUCUUCCGCAAUGGGCGAAAGCCUGACGGAGCAACGCCGCGUGAGUGAUGAAGGUCUUCGGAUCGUAAAACUCUGUUAUUAGGGAAGAGCAAAUGUGUAAGUAACUAUGCACGUCUUGACGGUACCUAAUCAGAAAGCCACGGCUAACUACGUG